rnacentral:rRNA from 1 species
CCCAGACUCCUACGGGAGGCAGCAGUGAGGAAUAUUGGUCAAUGGGCGAGAGCCUGAACCAGCCAAGUCGCGUGAGGGAAGACGGUCCUAUGGAUUGUAAACCUCUUUUGCCGGGGAGCAAAAAGCGGUACGUGUACCGCAUCGAGAGUACCCGAAGAAAAAGCAUCGGCUAACUCCGUGCCAGCAGCCGCGGUAAUACGGAGGAUGCGAGCGUUAUCCGGAUUUAUUGGGUUUAAAGGGUGCGUAGGCGGGCCGGAAAGUCAGGGGUAAAAGCCGGGGGCUCAACCCGGGCGAGCCGUUGAAACUGUCGUUCUUGAGUGAGCGAGAAGUAUGCGGAAUGCGUGGUGUAGCGGUGAAAUGCAUAGAUAUCACGCAGAACUCCGAUUGCGAAGGCAGCAUACCGGCGCUCAACUGACGCUCAUGCACGAAAGCGUGGGUAUCGAACAGGAUUAGAUACCCCAGUA